UCAUCCACUGUAGUACUGCGGUGUGCCAUCCAUCUUCUGGCUCCUCUGAGCAAAGCUGCGGCAGGAAGAGAAGGGACACUCGUGUGAAGACUCUCGUGAGCAGACUGUGGUUUCUAGUGGAGGAGUUACUCUGAUCCUGUAAAUCUAGUGGUUUUAAUACGCUUUUUGAAGCGGCAAGAUGGCUUUGUCUGUUAUUGUAUUGAUCUUGCAGAGUCUGAAGUUACGUGCAUGUACCCAGUUUGUUUCUUGGUCUACACUAUUAAACUAACUUUCCAGUA